GAGAGAGCUGGGGACCUAGACCGGGGGCCGGAAUUGGGGACGGCCGAGCUCUGAGGCUUCCCCCCGGUGCCGGCCUCCGCCCUCGUCCUGUGCAGACGGGCCGGCCAUCUGCCUGCUGGGUCUUCGGAGUGAGCUGGGCGGCCUCGGUGCCCUCGCCUGUGAGAUGGUCCCAGGGUUGUCCAGGGAACAGCGUUGCCGGAGGCCUAUGGGAGGCAGCGGGGACGUGCACGGCCGUGUGAAGCAGGGCGAUGGCCUGAAGGACCAACCGGGAGUCCCGAAAAGCUGACCGUGGGUGAGGUUGUUGAGCAGAGCAGAGCCCCUGCCCUCGGCUGACUUCCGCCAAGGGUUGUGUGACGGGCCCCUUGGCUUUCGUUGCAGACGGUUGAGCAAGAUACGGCUGGCCCGUGGGUGACCGGUCACCGCGUGUUACUCAGCGCCCGCACACCAGCCAGGUCGGGAGCCGUGCCACCUUCCCUGAUGGACACACUGGCUACUCUGCGGAAGCGCGUCACCGAAGCCGGGAGUCGACCGACAGAGGUGAGAAAGUGGCAAGGACGGGAGGUGGGGACACUGGAGGCAAAUCCAGGUGCAGCAGCGACGGGGCCAGAAGAAAGAGCUGCGGCCAGAGGGGCCUGGUGAGGCCGACUUGAUGAGAAGGACGAUGUCCCCCGGAAGUGACGCUGGCCACGCCCCCACGCCGACAGAGCCCUCGACACGUUUCGCGUCGCCCCGAGUGCGAGUGCGAAGGCCGCGCUGGAAGCUCAUUGCGACGCGGAACAGACAGCGACAACCGACAGAGGUCCAGAAAGGAUGCUCGCAGCACGUCCUAAGUCACAGCGGAAGAGGCGAACACUGUUCAUACUGUUCCUGAAUCACCUGGUAAUUCAUCUGGAGUGAAUAGAAGUACUCUGUUUACUUACUUAUGCCCCAGAUGUUUAUUCCACACCCAUAGCAAGCAAGACACAGUUCUAAGCACAGACACACUAAGAUUUGCCAUUACCAAGAGAAAACCCUUGACCUCAUGGAAUCACAUUCUAAUUAGGGGCACAGACCAUGAGUGAGGAGCACAAAUAGUACUGUGCAGAGAAGCAUGCCCUGAAGAAAAUAAAGGGGCGAGUGGUGGGGAAGGUGGUCAAAGAAGGCCCUUCUGAAGGGUCAUGCUUGAGCAGAAGGCUGAUGAAGAGAAGGAGUGAGCCCUUUAAGACUCUGGAGGAAGAGCAUUCUAGGACAAGGGAAAGACCCUCAGGCCGAGGCAUGCCUGGUGUCAUCAGGGACAACGGAAGGUCAGCACACCAAGGCGGCCAGAGGGAUGAGUCUGAAGGGCAGGCCAAGGACCAGAUCACUCAGAGCCUAAGUGGGCAAGCCAAGGACGGUUCUCCCUCUAAGCGGGAUGUGAAGCCACAGAGAACCGGCCACUCUGACCUAUGUUUAUAAAGAUGUUCCCCAAGGGCCUGCAGGCAGCUCUUCAGCUGCCCAGGGGAGGGCCAGAGGGGUUUGACCGAGAGCCCAUAGCGCCACAGUGCAGCAGGAAGGAAGAGGUCAGAUUUGGGAGAUGAUUUGGGGAGAAUGGCAGAGUUGGCUGUCGGGCCGGAUGGAGACAUGCGGGAAUAUGAGAGGCACCAAGGGACACUCUGGGCAGAGGGGUGAGGGAGCGGUGUUUGCUGAGAUAAGGGGCUUUGGGGAAGGAAGAAUUCCGUUCUGGACAAAGAACAGGUAGGAAAGUAGAAACACAUAGCAAGAUAGUGACUUAAUCCAGCCAUGUCGAUAAUCACCCCAAAGGAAGAACAGAGAUUAGCCAAUAGGGUUUUUAAAAAGCAAAAACCAGGGGCGCCUGGGUGGCUCAGUCGGUUGGGUGUCUGACUUCGGCUCAGGUCAU